GACGAACGCUGGCGGCGUGCUUAAUACAUGCAAGUCGAACGGAAAGGCCACUUUCGGGGGGUACUCGCGUGGCCAACGGGCGAGUAACACGUGCGUAACCUGCCCUCGUCUAUGGGAUAACUUAAGUAAACUGGGGCUAAUACCUGCUAGGAGCUCCUGUUGCACGGUUGGGGCUGGAAAGUUUCGGCGGUUGGGGAUGGCCUCUCGGCUUAUCAGCUCGUUGUUGGGGAAGUGGCUUACCAAGGCUUUGACGGGUAGCCGGCCUGAGAGGGUGACCGGCCACAUUGGGACUGAGAUACGGCCCAGACUCCUACGGGAGGCAGCAGUGGGGAAUAUUGCACAAUGGGUGGAAGCCUGAUGCAGCAACGCCGUGUGCGGGAUGACGGCCUUCGGGUUGUAAACCGCUUUCGCUCAUGACGAAGCUUUGUGUGACGGUAGUGGGUAAAGAAGCACCGGCUAACUACGUG
rnacentral:rRNA from 1 species